AUAAAGGUUUCCACACCAAUCUCUGCUAGGCAGCAGCCAGGAGAUGAACACCUGUCUGAGAGAAAAGUCUGGAAAAAAACAGUGUUGAAAGGAGCCCUCCUCGUCCCUGGAAGCAGAGAGUUGCAGAGCUAAUGCUCUGAGAUCUUCUGAUAGGGAUGAAAGAAAUGGAGGCAACACGGAGAACUCUUCUGGAACAACCACAAAAGAACCCUCAAGGAGUAGGUGGAAAGGCAAGCAAGUAAAGGCACUGCCUCCCACUCCCUGUGCUAGCUUGGCUAAGUCCCUGAGCCCCACUAGACCACUGUUUCCCCACCUGCAAAAAGUAAGAGGCUCCACUGGACAGUCUCCCAAGUCCCUUCUAAGUGGAUCAUUGCAUGACUUGGUGAGACAGUUCUUGCCUAUCUCUCUUCCCACUCCAUCUCCUCCUUCCUUGGUCUCAAGCUUCUGUCUUCUUCCUUCCUGCUCCCCACUCUGUCUAGAACACCACAGCCUUUUUUUAAAGUUACUCUGCCCAUGCUGCAACAAUGAAGAAACUCUGACAUCUCCAUCAACAGAUCUCUCCCAGAAAUGAAAACAUCAAAAACAGGUUUCCAGCAGAAGGUGGCAUUCAAGUUGAAUCUUGAAGGAAGCCAGGGGAUUCCAAGAGACAGAAGAGAGGAAGGAGUCUUUCAGACAUGGGUGAUGACCAGUGCAAAAAGCAGAAAUGGGAGAAAACAGAAACAGAAGGAAGCAGAAGUAAACACGAAAAAGCCUUUGGAAGAUUAUUACAAGAAACAUAUGGGUGUUUACACUGGGUAUAAAGGUUCCCAAACCUGCUCCAUGAGGAGGUCCUGAUGGUUCUAAUUAGCACCAUCAUCUGCAACUACCUAAGAUCCUAGUAUCUUUGGGUCAGCUUGAUUUAGACAAUAUAUCUGCUAAAGGGGGAAAAAAGUAUUGUGUUGUAAAGCAGGAUUAAUGAAGACCAAUUCAGAAACUUCCUUAGGGGAGAAGAAAUGGCCUGACUCUUCCCUGUGGUACACACACCCAAAAAAAACAAACAAACAAACAAAAACUUCAGAAAACCUACAUCUGGGGCAUCCUAAUCUCUGAGAAAUAGCCACCAAUUAAAGCUGUUACAUGAUAUAAACA